GACGAACGCUGGCGGCGUGCCUAAUACAUGCAAGUAGAACGCUGAAGCGAGGAGCUUGCUCUUCUUGGAUGAGUUGCGAACGGGUGAGUAACGCGUAGGUAACCUGCCUUGUAGCGGGGGAUAACUAUUGGAAACGAUAGCUAAUACCGCAUAACAAUGGAUGACACAUGUCAUUUAUUUGAAAGGGGCAAUUGCUCCACUACAAGAUGGACCUGCGUUGUAUUAGCUAGUAGGUGAGGUAAUGGCUCACCUAGGCGACGAUACAUAGCCGACCUGAGAGGGUGGUCGGCCACACUGGGACUGGGACACGGCCCAGACUCCUACGGGAGGCAGCACUAGGGAAUCUUCGGCAAUGGGGGCAACCCUGACCGAGCAACGCCGCGGGAGUGAAGAAGGUUUUCGGAUCGUAAAGCUCUGUUGUAAGUCAAGAACGGGUGUGAGAGUGGAAAGUUCACACUGUGACGGUAGCUUACCAGAAAGGGACGGCUAACUACGUG
rnacentral:rRNA from 1 species